GAGGUCACAAAUUUGACAAUUUUUAACGGCCGGUAUGGGAUACUGGCUAGUUUAACGGUGUAAAAGAAUCGGAAUUUGUUGAAUUUUUGAUAGAAAAUUCUAUUCACUACAUAGAUAAAGAUCAAUAACUCCGAUCUUGAAUUGAAGAAUCCGAUCAUUCUUUUUUAGGACGUCGUUCGAUUUUGACCAUUCAUUUUAUGCCCACUUGAUGGAUUUUAUUAUGAUUUCGAAAAUUUACGAAAUUUAUUUUCUAGAAGUUUCAAAUACUCUAGAUCAUAUUUAACGGAGUGGAUCGUCGAUUCGGAAGCUCCAUCGGCCUAUAUAUAUAUAUAUAUAUUAUAGGCUGGGGCUACUAUACUCUUAUGAGUAUAGACCCCCUUAUACUUAUAAAUUUUUAACUGUCUAUUGAUGGAAUAUAUGGUUAGGAUGAUGGUGGUCCCACUUAGAAUAAUAGUGGUCUCCUAGGGUUGAGUGGGUAGUUGGUUGAAUAGUAUGAUCUAACGGGCGAAAAUGAUCAAUGGAAUAAAUCUAAGGGCCGAAAACUUAUGAGUAUAAACGAGCCAAUACUCAUAAAAAUAUAGUAGCCGGACUCUAUAUAUAUAUAUAUAUAUUGGGUGCAUGCAUGUGUUGGGU
rnacentral:lncRNA from 1 species